UCCAUCCACCACCCAAGAGCUCAUUACAACUGGAGAGCCCCCAGAAACCACAGCAGCAUCCAAUGCAUCUGUUACACUUUUAUGCCAGCCAACC